rnacentral:rRNA from 1 species
UACGAAGGGGGCUAGCGUUGCUCGGAAUCACUGGGCGUAAAGGGUGCGUAGGCGGUUCUUUAAGUCAGCGGUGAAAUCCUGGAGCUCAACUCCAGAACUGCCUUUGAUACUGAAGAUCUUGAGUUCGGGAGAGGUGAGUGGAACUGCGAGUGUAGAGGUGAAAUUCGUAGAUAUUCGCAAGAACACCAGUGGCGAAGGCGGCUCACUGGCCCGAUACUGACGCUGAGGCACGAAAGCGUGGGGAGCAAACAGG